GUACUCUCUUCUCUCCAUCACUAACAUCUUUCGGAUCAGCAUUCUCUUGCAUCAAAUGAUUAAAAUAAUGACUCUUACUUAGAAGGCUGUUGUGUGGAUUCAAAAAGGUAGUAAGACACUUCGAGCUAUACCUGGCAUGUGAUUAGGGCCCAAUGAGGUUUUAACAGAAUCUCCAUUUGUAAAAGCAGAAGCCAAUAUCCCCUGAAUUUAAGGGACUCCUCCAAAGUCCUACAACUCAGAAAGGAUGGGGCUGCUGGGAUAUGAACCCAGGGCUGACUACUGGUUUACCCUGAUCACAAUGGAGGCUUUGAUGUGGUUCCAUUUCCAGAUGUGUAACAGGUAUUCAGUGAUGUCUUCCUCCUUGACAAUUGCCCAUCAAUGACUUCUGUGUUGAUAAACCCAUUGGCCGACUCUCACUGUUCGUUUAGUUUGGUUUUAUUAGUAUCAUUUGAUGCAAUUGAUCAUCCUCUAUGUAGGGAAAUGCUGGGGAUCUUUUCCUAAAUUGGCGUUCCUACUAUUUUCUCUCAUCUGUUUGCCCUGUAACUAUUGCAGUGCCUUUGUAUCAGUUCUGGACUUUUUCCCUUUCUUCUCUGUACUCCUUCUUGCUAUUAUCAGCCGGUCUCACGGCUUUAAAUAUCUUUAUAGAAGUGACUUCCAAGUUUGUAUUUCUUGUCCGUUUCUGUCUCCUGAUUUUUAGACUUACUUAUCCAACUGUGCACUUGCAACUCUGUGUAGGUGACCUCUGCUUGUCUAACACAUGUCUAAAUCUUGUCAUGUUCUAAAUGAACUCUUGAUCUUCCUUCUAGAAGCUUUCCGUGAAUUCCAAGUUCAGAUCCUUUUUUUCCUUCACAGCUCUUGGCACCUUCUCAUGUUUUAUGAAUUUUACUUAUUUCCCCUUAUUUUUGUAUUUUGUUUGGUUUUGCUACUGUCUGUGUCUGUCUUGUAGAAUAUAAGCUCCAUGAGGGCAGACAUUUUUUUUCCUGCCUUGAGCAAUAUUGAAUCUUAUUAAAGUAACUGAAUAUGGAUGAACAUAUAACAUAAGUCAAUAAAUAUUUGUUAAGUGAUGGAAAUAAAUUGAAAGGAUGAGCUAUAACGUUAGGAAAGUGGGAUGGAGAAAGAAAUGGAUUCUUGUUCUAACUUUUGGCACAUAAUUGGGACCAGAAACUCCAUGUCUCGUUUGUCACUCCACUUUCAAACAGUAACUCUGAACAGUAUAUGCUAAUAGGCCAAUGCAGACACGACAGUAGGCAGAUGAGGAAUAGAGUGUAGGGUGCAUUUGUAGGGGAGUACCUCUGAGAUCCAGGGUGGCGGAAAGAGCAACAAGGGAAAGGUAAGUCACACUGAUAACUUCCAUGAACAGUGGGGUGGGGAGGAAGUUGGGAUUGGAGCAAGAAGUUAUAAGAAAAUGAGAAACAGAUUGGUUUUUAUUGAUUUGAGAACUAGAAUUAUUGAAUAAAUGCACAGAACAACAUGAAAAACAGGCUGCUUGGUAUUGCUACUUUAAAAAGAAGAGUAAAUUACUUCAUUCAAAAAAAAUGCUUUAAAUAUUGAAAAAAAAUUCCAGCAAAUUGAAUAGAGCUUUUUUUCUUAUUAUUGUGAAAGGUCACAGCAGUUCUAAUUCCAAUGUCCAAUUACCAGGCACCAUCAGCAAGCAAAGUAGAAUCAACUCAAUUUCAAUCUCAGGCAUUUGCCUCACCUUUAACUAGCUUUGGUAUGACUCACUGCAAUUUUCUCAUCAAAAAGCUAAUUUUAGGAGCAAAAUGUCAAGAAAAGAUGAGAAAGAAGAGCCUGGUUUUGUGGAGGCUGGAAGGAUUUUGAAUUUGGGCUGCACUUGUAAGCUACCUGUCAAAUCAGUCACCCACAGAAGCCUCUCUGAUGUUUCUGCUGUGCUCUGAGGGAAAAUAAAACCAGACAGAGGGACAAACAUGUCUGUCCCAAACCCUAAUCUCAAAUGUAGAAUGACAUUCUGUUCCAGCUGGCCCCUAACUUGUGACUUGACCUGAUGAAAAAAAAUUUUUUUUUCAAUUUUCACUAUUAGGAGCAGACAUGACAUAAUAAACAUGUUGUAUGAUAGCUCCUUAACCGGCUGCAACUGUCCUGUAAGAAAUACUCUUGGUAAGUGAAACCUAUGUAAAGGGGGAAAAACAGAUUUUCAUCCUCUAGGCUGGUAUUUUGGCUUUUCACUACAAAAGAAGAACCAUUUGUUUAUUUCUCUGAGUGAUUAUAAUGAAACCAUCAGCAAAUUCUGUGACUAGUCCCCUCCAGCUCUGCAUACAGGGGAUCUCCCAAAGGCAAUCCAUGUAAGCAUUCUGGUGUCUCAGUGACAUUCACACCCCGAACACACUCUGUGGGUGUGAUCUCAGUCCCUCCUGCUGCAAUUCUGGAAAGGCUCAUCUUGUUGAACCAACUCAGAAAUUACAGAAGAGUUAUCCAAUUACCUUGUGUAGUCUUGAAAAGUCAGGCUCCUAACGUUGGAAGCCACAGGCCUCAGUCUCUUGGUCUUCAGAUCUUUAACCAUGUUUGCUCUCAUGUUUGAUCCUAUGUUUACAGGCUGCCCUUGCCUGUGUGGAAAGAUAUGAGCUGGUAUCACAGUUAUUUCUUUUGCUAUACUAUUGCAAGAAAUUAUUUUUUUUACUAUUAGUCUAUGGAUGUACCAAAGGAUGGCAAUGAAAUAAAAUCCAAAAGUUUGAUAUUUCCCCUCCGCCAGUGUACAAACUUUAUGGACUGUACAAAAGAGCAACAAAUCCAGAGGUAUGGAAAAGGCGACUCCUCUACCCUAAGUGAGGGCUCUGCAAGCAGGCCAGUCUGGCCAGGACACUUGACGGUGGCCACUGUGGGCCCAGCACCCUCUGAAGAAUGAGCCCCCAGGCAGGAGGGCUCCUUAUGACAUGAGAGAGGAAGGAAAAUCCUAGAAGAAGCAUGGGCUGUGUUUCACUUCAGGUUAUGGCCACUUCAGAAGGAGAGGAAAGUUCAAAGUCUCUGAAGUUUAAAAGGUACCAGAAAAGGGAAGAAGCUUGGAGAAUCAGGGAUCUGAGCAAUCAGCAAGUUCAAGGGAGACAUGUCUGAAAUGUAAGCCAAGCAAUCAAGUGUUCUGGGAAAUGAUGUCGCAGCCAACCUAGCAGAUCAUGGGCCUCUCGCCACGGAGAUGUUGGCCUCAGAAGCAAUGGGGAGAAGGUGAGAGUUCCAGGCCAUGUUGAAUACGGGAAACAGAACACUCAGAGAACUGCUUUGACAGAAGUGACGUACAUGGCAGCCGUUGCAAAGGGGUUUGUGUGUCGUCCAGGGACAGUAGUGUGCCAGAACCUGGCUCUUCCAAGCCAUCAGGUGGCUGGUUACCAGUGACCACUCUCGCUGUCCGUGCUUUGUUACUGGGUGCAGCUCAAAAGCAACUAAAUACAUUCAGCCAAAACUUGUAAAGACACUGAGUUGUACCCUCAGCAGAGGGUUCUUGUGGAGGUGUCUGCAUGUGCAUUUCUGACUGAGAAGUCCCCCGAGACUCAUGGAAGGUGUGCUGAACUUUGGUCUUUGGGAAAUUGCACACCACUGACCGCUCUACAUAGAAAAGGUUCUCUGAAGUAGUUUGUUAUUGAUGAUAAUUAUAAUAUCAUAAGCGUUGGUGACAGCGAAGCACUGGCCAGUCGGUGAGAGGUCCUGCCGAUGUAAAGGAAUCCACUCCCCGGUUGUAAGACUCAGAUGGGGUUUGGCCAGACUCCAGGUGUGAUUACAGGAGUCGAUUCAGCUGGGGACCUGAAUGAAGGAGCCGGUCAAGCUUCCUGCAGUCGAGUCAAAGUAGGGAAUUCCCACAUGCUCAGAUUCAAUUAUGGAGGGGAGGCCUCCGCCAGCGCUGGGCCCGUUAGUACACUUUUGAGACUCCUUACCGACCGCAAAUGCCUGCUGGCAGUUACAGUUGACAAACCAAGUAGGAGUUUCCUGCUCUGGAGAGAGCAGAGGCUUCUGCUGAGACCCGUCAUUGGCAGAAGCCACUGGCAGUUGGGACUCCCCAGCUCCUGCACGAUGCCAGAGGUUAUCUGGCAGCAACUUAACAACCGUCAGGGCUGGGAGCCACUCUGCAAUCCAAUUUUCUCUCUUUUUGGACUGAUUCAGGGAUCCUGGGAAGUGUGAUCUUAAGAUGGUAGGAGUCCUUUGGAAAAUCUCUUUGGCAUAUGAUGCACCGACAAGUAGAAGAGAGGAUGAUUGUUUCAGUGCUACUCACACUGCACUGAUAAGGAUUUGAAAAUAAAGACAGGAUUACCGCUCUCAGGAUUAAUACAGGAUUAAUCUAGUUCUUUCUUCAAUAUCAAAGACACAAAUGUCCUGAAGGAGAAGUUGAUGUUCUCUUAAAAAAAAUACACCUACUAAUUCUAUAGAAUUCUAAAUCUCAUAAGGAGAUCAUCUUUUGUGAGCAGGAUGAUUUAGGAGAAAUUCAUUCCCUGAUCAGCUUAUGUUCCAGAAUCAUGUAAAGGGUUUUUUUGUUUGUUUGUUUAUUUAUUUUUUUGUUUUCUCUAUUGCCGUUCAUGGCAAUGAGGCAGCACUCAUUUAAGGAGUGCUGGAUUCUGGUUGAUGAACUGAAUCAGAGUUUGGGAAGUAAGUUUCAUGUUUACAACUUAGAGGCACCAGUGAAAUACCAGCUUGGAAGUGUUAUUAACACUGGUUAUUAACCUUUGGA